rnacentral:rRNA from 1 species
CAGUCGCCGCGGGAAUACGUAGGGUGCAAGCGUUAAUCGGAAUUACUGGGCGUAAAGCGUGCGCAGGCGGUUAUAUAAGACAGAUGUGAAAUCCCCGGGCUCAACCUGGGAACUGCAUUUGUUACUGUAUAGCUAGAGUACGGCAGAGGGUGAUAGAAUUCCGCGUGUAGCAGUGAAAUGCGUAGAUAUGCGGAGGAACACCGAUGGCGAAGGCGGCCACCUGGACAAAGACUGACGCUCAGGUGCGAAAGCGUGGGGAGCAAACAGGAUUAGAUACCCGAGUAGUCCCUGUCUCUUAUAC